UCCCACAAACCAAACCAUCGUCAGCAAACAAGCAACUCCACAAAAAUUUCUCCCAAAAACCAAUUGAUCAUUCUUCAAAUCUCCAUUUCCCAUCAAACCUUAAAUUUUAUCAAUAUCUGAUCACUAUCAGCAAGCUCCUAAAGCUCUGAUCUGUGACAAAUUGUGAUCACAAAGUACUCCGAUAUUCACCUUCGAUCUUCUUUGAUCAAAACUCCAACGACAAAUACUUCAGAAAUCGAUCAAGAAGCAAAGAAAAACAAUGUAUAAAAGGAAUUGGAAUAGCUCUAACAAUCUCCAGCAACAUUCAGUCCAAAAACUACAUAAUUAACACAAAAUAAAUAGGUAACCAAAUCACAAUCAUAAAUUCUUCAUUCUUUAUAAUUUAUAAAAGCAUUGUUUAAAUUGAAAUUAAAUGAAUACACAUAAUUUGUCUAUGAAUAAACGAAAAAAAAUGAAAUGAGAAUAUGGAAUUUUGUAUUUAGAAUAUACAUGAUUUGGUAAUAGAAUCUGAAAACUAAGAACUGAUUGUAUAAUGUAAAGCUACUGAAACAAUAAUAACAUGAUUUGGAUUUGAGCUUUGCUUUGUUGAGAUAAAUUUUGUCUAGGGUGAGAAUUUGGGCUUUGAAUUGUUUUGUUGUUUUCUUCAGGUAUUGAUGUUUGGAAACAAUUCUAUAUUUUCUCUGUAACUAUUGCUUGGGUAGCUUACGGUAGUCAAAUAAAAUUAGAAGCUAGUAUGUGAUUUACAAUUCUUGUUUAUUAUAUACAUUUUUCUUGUGACAGUGAGUUUCAUUCUUUACUUUUGGGCACUUGCUAUUGGAUUUCUUGGUAUGUUACUUGCUCAAAAAAACAACUGUAGAAAUUAGAUUCAGUAGCCAUUUUUAGGUAAAUCCUUUUUUUUUAUCUACAAUUUUUAAGUUUUAGUAUAAUACCCACUAUUUCAAUCAAUAUACCUAUUAUACCCCUAUAAUUGGUAGAUACUGUUUUUAGAAGAAUACCAUGUGGUCAAGGGUAUUUUUGGAAUUGUCUGUGAUAAAAAUAGGUAGAACUAAACUAAAAAUAUUUAUGAGGUAAUUUUAGUUAAAAACUCAUUAAACUGAUUAAUUUUCAACUUAUCCCCAAAAAAACUUUGUUCGUCAUCUUUUCCAUGUUAUAACUUCUUUAUAUAUAUAUAAAUAUCGUAACUAGUAACUUGUUCUUUUUCCUCCCACCUUCAACCAUCAUACUACAUGCAAGCUUUAGAAGGAAUGAGAAACUGGCAUUUAAGAUGCUUCUUUUAAGGAUGGAUGUGCUAGUGUAGCUGCCAUUACUAUCAAGGAUAACCACUUACUUGUAUUUAUUCUAAGAAAAUAAAUUGCAUUUGGACAUUAAUAAAAAGAGAAAACAAAUAAUAGUUAAAACUGAAAAAGAAAAUGAAGAAAGUGGGAAUUUUUGAGGAAUUUGGCCCAGUCCUGAAGGCCCAAACCAAAGGCCCAGCUCUUCCUUCCUCUCUGCCCAGCCGCCACCUGUCGACCCCAUGCUGCGCCACUUGUCCGCACUCUAGCCUCCCUUCCUAGCGCCUCAACCAAGCAACUCCUCCAUCUUUACCUCCUUCAAAGUAAACGAAGGCCCAAGUGCAUAUGAAAGCCCAACUCGGCCCAGCAAAGCAACUCACGUCCAAGUGCAUAUGAAAGCCCAGCCGAGUUCACCUCUUCCAGCAAGCAGACCCAACGUUGGCCCAGCAAUCCCAGCCGCCUACGUGGCACAUUUUCAUUGGUUGGAAAUGGGUCAAAACCCUCUUGUGUCAUCAGCCAUGCUAAUAGUAUAUAGGAUUAGUCAUGCUAUUUCUAUGUACUUCUAAUUAAUAAAAAUAAUAUUGAUACCUAAUUUUA